UAGUAACGGCGAGUGAAGCGGGAACAGCUCAAAUUUGUAAUCUGGCGGCCUUCGGUNGUCCGAGUUGUAAUCUGGAGAAGCGCUUUCAGUGCCGGCCCGCGUACAAGUCCCCUGGAACGGGGCGUCGCAGAGGGUGAGAAUCCCGUCUCUGACGCGGUCACGCCGGCGCGUUGCGAUGCGCUCUCGAAGAGUCGAGUUGUUUGGGAAUGCAGCUCAAAACGGGUGGUAAAUUCCAUCUAAAGCUAAAUACUGGCGAAAGACCGAUAGCGAACAAGUACCGUGAGGGAAAGAUGAAAAGCACUUUGGAAAGAGAGUCAAACAGUACGUGAAAUUGUUGAAAGGGAAACGCUUGAAGUCAGUCGCGUCUCCCGGGACUCAGUCGCGCCGUCAAAGGCGCGGCGUACUUCCCGGGUCUGGACGGGCCAGCGUCGAUUUCGACCGUCGUACAAAGGCGCGGGGAACGUGGCACCCUUUCUGGGUGUGUUAUAGCCCCGCGUCCCGUAUGCGACGGUGGGGAUCGAGGAUUGCAGCGCGCCCGCAAGGGUCGGGGUUCGCCCACGUAACGCGCUU
rnacentral:rRNA from 1 species